rnacentral:other from 1 species
AUGCCUCUGCGCUAUUGGUUAACAAGCAUAUCGUUUUUGAACCGAUAUUUUUGCGUAAGGGAUUAAUAUGUGUCACUGUUCGUUGUGCAUGUUUUGCUUUUUUGCAAAAAAGCCUUAGACGGUACCUGCAAUCCCAUACUGAGCCUUAGGGUUCAAAACGCAAGCUUGUGACGGUAAUGUGGAGGUUAU